AACGAACGCUGGCGGCAUGCCUAACACAUGCAAGUCGAACGAGACCUUCGGGUCUAGUGGCGCACGGGUGCGUAACGCGUGGGAACCUGCUCUUAGGUUCGGAAUAACUCCCCGAAAGGGGUGCUAAUACCGGAUAAUGUCUUCGGACCAAAGAUUUAUCGCCUUUGGAUGGGCCCGCGUUGUAUUAGCUAGUUGGUAGGGUAAAAGCCUACCAAGGGGACGAUCCAUAGCUGGUCUGAGAGGAUGAUCAGCCACACUGGGACUGAGACACGGCCCAGACUCCUACGGAAGGCAGCAGUGGGGAAUAUUGGACAAUGGGCGAAAGCCUGAUCCAGCAAUGCCGCGUGAGUGAUGAAGGCCUUAGGGUUGUAAAGCUCUUUUACCCGGGAUGAUAAUGACAGUACCGGGAGAAUAAGCUACGGCUAACUCCGUG
rnacentral:rRNA from 1 species